rnacentral:rRNA from 1 species
CAGUCGCCGCGGUAAUACGGAGGGUGCAAGCGUUAAUCGGAAUUACUGGGCGUAAAGCGUGCGUAGGCGGUUCGUUAAGUCUGUUGUGAAAGCCCCGGGCUCAACCUGGGAAUGGCAAUGGAUACUGGCGAGCUAAAGUGUGUCAGAGGAUGGUGGAAUUCCCGGUGUAGCGGUGAAAUGCGUAGAGAUCGGGAGGAACAUCAGUGGCGAAGGCGGCCAUCUGGGACAACACUGACGCUGAGGCACGAAAGCGUGGGGAGCAAACAGGCUUAGAUACCCCAGUAGUCCCUGUCUCUUAUAC